AUUGAACGCUGGCGGCAGGCCUAACACAUGCAAGUCGAGCGGCAGCACAGGUACUUGUACCGGGUGGCGAGCGGCGGACGGGUGAGUAAUGCCUAGGAAUCUGCCUGGUAGUGGGGGAUAACGCUCGGAAACGGACGCUAAGACCGCAUACGUCCUACGGGAGACAGCAGGGGACCUUCGGGCCUUGCGCUAACAGAUGAGCCUAGGUCGGAUUAGCUAGUUGGUGAGGUAAAGGCUCACCAAGGCGACGAUCCGUAACUGGUCUGAGAGGAUGAUCAGUCACACUGGAACUGAGACACGGUCCAGACUCCUACGGGAGGCAGCAGUGGGGAAUAUUGGACAAUGGGCGAAAGCCUGAUCCAGCCAUGCCGCGUGUGUGAAGAAGGUCUUCGGAUUGUAAAGCACUUUAAGUUGGGAGGAAGGGUCGUUACCUAAUACGUGACGAUUUUGACGUUACCGACAGAAUAAGCACCGGCUAACUCUGUGCCAGCAGCCGCAGUAAUAC
rnacentral:rRNA from 1 species